AGCUCGUGUCGUGAGAUGUGGUUAAGUCCGCAACGAGCGCAACCCUCGCCUCUACGUUGCCAGCAUCGGUUGGGCACUCUAGAGGGACUGCCGGCGACAAGUCGGAGGAAGGUGGGGAUGACGUCAAAUCAUCAUGCCCCUUAUGACCUGGGCUACACACGUGCUACAAUGGGCGGUACAAAGGGCUGCGAACCCGCGAGGGGGAGCGAAUCCCAAAAAGCCGCUCUCAGUUCGGAUUGCAGGCUGCAACUCGCCUGCAUGAAGCCGGAAUCGCUAGUAAUCGCGGAUCAGCAUGCCGCGGUCGAAUACGUUCCGGGCCUU
rnacentral:rRNA from 1 species